CCCAGGGGAGGGUGGGGCAUCCUGCAGAGAGCUGCCCGCGGGAGCCUGGAGGCGGAGAGAUCCAGUGAGGACGGUGUGUGCGCUUCACACCGAGCAAACACUAGCUUCGGAGGUGGGCGGUGAGAAGCCUGGCGUGGCCGCUGCUCCUUCCUCUCCCCCGCCUCUCCCUGCGGGCCUGGCCCUGUGUGCUGGUCUCUGCCCUGCUCGGGCGGGCGGGUCCAUGGCGGGGUGGGUCCGGGUAGAGCAGCAAAUACUCCUGCCAGGCACGGCUGGGCCAGUGGAGAUAAGGGGCGCAGGCUCUGCCGGCUGGAAUCCGGGCCUUGGCUCCUCUGGGGGGAGUGGGGCACCCGUCUGGGCCCUCAGGCUCAGCUCUCUAGCGGCUGGGCACCGGGGCCCUUCCCCUUGGAAGGUGGCGCACACCUGUGAUCCCAGCACUCUGGGAGGCUGAGGCAGGAGGAUCGCAAGUCCAAGCCAAGCCUGGGCAACUUAGCGACUUAGCGAGACCCAGUCUCAAAAUGAGAAAUAAAAAGGGCCGGGAUUCAGUGCGAAGGCCCUGGUUCCCCCCCCCCCAGCAUCUCCCCGGCGAUUCUGUGCUUUGUCCUUCGCGCUGGGCACACACAGGUAAGUGACCUCGACGAGGUGAAUGACGAGAAGGGACUAAAACCCGAGGUUCUGCCAGUCCAUGGUGGCCUAAACAGGCGCUCAAGUGAGCAUCCGCGCAGGGACCGCGGGCGGGUCCCCUCGCUGGAGCGCUCGAGGGGGCUCAUCCACAGCCUCCACCCCGCGCCCACCGAGCGCUCUGGGAGAGCAGAGAGGAAAGCCAGGCCAGCAUCGCCAGGGCAACGCCCAGCCCUGACAGUAAUGGGAUUCACGAGGGGCCUCCUCAGCCCUGGGUGGCCAGGGGGCCAGGGGUGCGCAUGCACUGAGAUGUGGAGGCCCGGGGGUCCAGCCCGGCCCCCAAAGUCAAACGGCAAGGUUGCCCUAACCCGAACGCCUCCCUGAAAUAGCCAAGCCCCCCAGGAGGUGGAGCGCUGGGGGGUGCAGACAGACGAGCUGCGGUGGGUAGUGGGCGAUGGCAACAUUUUGGGGAAGCAUGCGGGUCCACAGGGGUCUACUGUUACUCCACCUGCUCUGGAAGUCUGAACGUUUCUAAAAGAAAAAGCGGUUAAAAAAAAAAAAAGCUGAAGCCAUGCAUGAUGGAGGCUGAGGCAGGAGGAUCGAAAGUCAAAGCCAAGCCUGAGCAAUUUGGAGACUUGGCAAAAACUUGUCUCCAAAAAAAGGGAGGGCUGUGCCCGGGAUUUAGCUCAGUGGUUUCGCCCCCUGCUUCGAAAGCGCAAGGACCCGAGUUCGAUCCCCCGUACCAAAAAAAAAAAAAAAAGGGAGGGGCAGAGGAUGAAGCGUAGUGGUAGAGCACCAGGCCCUGGGUUCAAUCCCCAGCACUGAGUAAAAAGAAAAAAGUAAAAAUGGAAUGAAGCAAGUAUAGCAGCGACCGGGCUUAUGAACGCCCUGUCCCAUGACCAGCAAAGGCGUCAGAAGCAGCCGGGAGAAUCUGUGAAGAGGAGGCCUGUACUGCUCGGGUGUAUGUGUUUGUCCAGGGGAGUCAAACACAGCAUUGAAAACAUAUGCAUCGCACUGUACUUACAUUUUGCUAAGGACAAGAAACUUAGGUAUCUGCUAGCUUGUUCUGAUUGGCACGCUGGAGUGUGUGGAGCAAAGUGAAUUGCUAUUUAUAAGUUGCUUUGAAUUUUUUUUUAAAGAUAGAUGUCUGGGAAGUCUCUACUUUUGUUCAAUUCUACUGUGAGCCUAAAACUACCCUAAAAAUAAAGUUUAUUUUUAAAAGAUGGUGGGGGCUGGGGAUUUAGCUCAGUGGUUCCACCGCUUGUCUCACAAGCACAAGGUUUCGAGUUCCAUCCCGGUAUCAAAAAAAUAAAUAAAUAAAUAAAUAAAAUAAAAAGAUGGCGGGUGGAUGGAUGGAUGGGCAGAUGGACAGAUGGAUAGACAGAUUAAGAAGAAAAUAAAGCAAAAUACCAAUUGAAGACUCCAGGGAGUUACCAUUCAGUGGUUUCCACUUUCCGUUUUUUGUUUUUGUUUUUGUUUUUUGAGACAGGGUCUUGCUAUGUAGUUCAGGCUGGCCUUGAAGUCAUGGUGAUCUUUCUGCCUCAGCCUCCCAAGUCCUGGAAUUACAGGCCACAAUGCCUGGGUCAUUUUCCAUAUGUUUUUAAAAUUUCACAAUAACAUGAUAAAAGAAACAAGUCAAAUCCUUUCGGCUCUGCCUGCUUCUCCAAUGCCCCAUCUGGCUUUGAGUCCCUGACUGAGCCGCGGUCCACAACCCCUUACUCCUUUCCCACCACCAUGCCCCUCUGGUAAGGCUCUGUCACCCCAAGGCUCCCUGCUCCCCACUGUCACAUCCCUGCUGUGAUGGUUUGUGCUUAGAGCACCCCAAAGCCUCAUGCGGAUGAGGUGAGGUUUUCUCUUUUGGAGGUGGUUGAAUCUGGAAUGUGCGACGCUGGGGUUAUGAGCGUGUGAUUACUAAACCACUACAUGUGAGUGAUUGGUUUGGCGCUUCCCUAAUCCCAGUAGUCUGAAUAAGAUAAAAGGAGCAGAAAGAUGCCGUUAAGGUCCCUUGUUACCUUUGCUGCCUUGUACACACCAUGUUGUUUCUACUCUGUGAGGCCUGUUUGCCAUCCCUGCCUUGGAGCUAGCUGACUAUGGACUGAAACCUCUACAAACUGUGAGCCAAAUAAACCCUUCCCCUCUAACUUUGGUAUCGGGUAUUUUGUCUCAGCAAUGAGAGAAAAGCUAACACAGCUGCCCCAGGACCCCAGCCCCUGCAGAGCCCCUCUGGACACUGUCCCUUUGCUCUCUCCUCCGACUGGCACCCGUGGCUCCUCCCUCCCUGGCCCACAGUGCUGGGCCACCCCAGCUGUGCCGCUUCCUGCUGUGUGGCCUUGGUUCAAGUGGGUCGCCUCUCUGUGCUGGUGAUUCUGUGGGAAUCGAGCCUCUUGGGGCUGAUGUUGCUGGGGAAGCUGUGGAUGGUGCAGUCACGUGGGGAAAACAUCCAGCGUUUCUUGAAAAGUGAAUCAUCAUAGACUCUCUGCAGCUUCACCUAGUCCUGUGCCUAGAAUCUGCCCAAGAGUGAUGGACACAUGUGUGAUGGAUCGAAAUGUACGGAUCUCAGACUUCUCCCAUCAGUUCAGCGACUUGUGAAUCCAUGGAGUUGCGCAGCAAUUCCCAGGGUCCGUCUGGAGCAUUUCCAUCCCUCCCAGGGGCCAGCCUGGGGUACACAGUGAGGCCCUGUCUCGAAACACCAACACAAACAAAUAAAACCCAAAACCAAAAACGACUGGAGCUCGUGGUAAGUAUUUU
rnacentral:lncRNA from 1 species